CAGGGAAUCUUCCACAAUGGACGAAAGUCUGAUGGAGCAAUGCCGCGUGAGCGAAGAAGGUUUUCGGAUCGUAAAGCUCUGUUGUAAGGGAAGAACACGUACGGGAGUAACUGCCCGUGCCAUGACGGUACCUUAUUAGAAAGCCACGGCUAACUACGUGCCAGCAGCCGCGGUAAUACGUAGGUGGCAAGCGUUGUCCGGAAUUAUUGGGCGUAAAGCGCGCGCAGGCGGUUCUUUAAGUCUGAUGUGAAAGCCCACGGCUCAACCGUGGAGGGUCAUUGGAAACUGGAGAACUUGAGUACAGAAGAGGAAAGCGGAAUUCCACGUGUAGCGGUGAAAUGCGUAGAGAUGUGGAGGAACACCAGUGGCGAAGGCGGCUUUCUGGUCUGUAACUGACGCUGAGGCGCGAAAGCGUGGGGAGCAAACAG
rnacentral:rRNA from 1 species